CUACGUGCCAGCAGCCGCGGUAAUACGGAAGGUCCAGGCGUUAUCCGGAUUUAUUGGGUUUAAAGGGAGCGUAGGCCGUGGAUUAAGCGUGUUGUGAAAUGUAGACGCUCAACGUCUGAAUUGCAGCGCGAACUGGUUCACUUGAGUAUGCACAACGUAGGCGGAAUUCGUCGUGUAGCGGUGAAAUGCUUAGAUAUGACGAAGAACUCCGAUUGCGAAGGCAGCUUGCGGGAGCACAACUGACGCUGAAGCUCGAAAGUGCGGGUAUCAAACAGGAUUAGAUACCCUGGUAGUCCGCACGGUAAACGAUGGAUGCCCGUUCUUCGUUCUUUUGAAUGAGGGACCAAGCGAAAGCAUUAAGCAUCCCACCUGGGGAGUACGCCGGCAACGGUGAAACUCAAAGGAAUUGACGGGGGCCCGCACAAGCGGAGGAACAUGUGGUUUAAUUCGAUGAUACGCGAGGAACCUUACCCGGGCUUGAAUUGCAGGAGAACGAUCUAGAGAUAG
rnacentral:rRNA from 1 species